CUUGCAUCUUUUUCUUUAAAAUUACUGUAAGAUCAAAUAAUUCCCAUCGAAUUUCGACGGAUUAGGUGAUUUAUUUGUUGGGUGGUUGAUUGCAGAAUGUCGACGCUGAAAAGCAGCAGCGCACCUACCUCUCAAGCUUCGACGGGUAUCCGUCGGGUAACGGGUGGCGGGGUAACGGGUGGCGGGUAUCCGUGGAUCGUGGGUAUGGGUGGCAAAUAAUUUUUUUGAAUAUACAUUUUGCUAAGUCAUGUUAGAGAUGAAAGUCCUCUUCAAUUUAUUUUUUCAUUUUAGUUUGAUAUGUAAUUAGAUUUAUGUCAUGUUAACACUUAUUUUAUUGAAUAAUAUUCAUUAUUUAUAAAUAUAUUAUGAAAAGAAGAUGAACUUUUUAUUUAUAAACUAUAACACCAAAUAAUUCCCGUCGAAUUUCGACGGGUUACACACUAGUUAUUGUUGUUUAAUUUGUUGUAAAAUAAUAUUACCUUUUAAUUUUUUUUGGUCACCAAAUAGUAGCUAUGGCAUGUCUCACCGGCGCCGGUGAUGUCAAAGUGCAACUGCACGGUGUCAUUAUUUUCACUUCGAUUAAUAUAAUGUUCGACAUACCAACUUCUUUACUACCAAAAUUGUAGUGUUGCAAUUAUAUGGAGUAAUUGAUAAAAGUGAGUGCACUAAUUAACAAUUCCCUAUAAUAAAACUACAACCGCUAUUAAAAAUUGACCUAUUUUUGAAAAUGCAUUUUUGGAAGAUGCUCACGAAUCUAUCAAUUCUAUAAAGCAAUACAUAUUCCAGCCUCCAUAUUGUUUCUCUCUCCUACAUGGCACACUCACACUGCUUUAUUUCACAUUAUCUUGAAAGGCUUUUCACUCACAAUUCUCACAAUUUUACAAAGCCUGUUGCAGCCGUUACAUCCCUCAAGGUCAAAGCCAUCUCUCAAAAUUUCCAUCCAUGGCUUCAGCCGUUACAUCUUUCAAAGUCUCAAUUUCUCUCACAAUAUGAGUUUCCAGUCUCAAUCUUUCCACAAAUCUCAAACAAUUCGCUGGUCUCUCUCGCUUCUUCUCAAACAAUCGGCGCCGAAUCUUCCCACAAAUAUCAAACAAUCGGCUGUGUAAUUGGGAGAUUCAGUUUCUCUCUUUCAAUUUCCAUCGCCCACCUCCCAGCCAACCACCGCCAGUCGCUGUCCUGUCGCCGCGAUUCAGACGCCGUCCUCCGCCCCGUGAUUCAGAUGCCGUCACUGCCUUCUGUGCGAAUCCAGCCGUGCCGUCCUCCACCGCCGCCUUUAUGUGGUCGUGCCUCCAGCCGCCUCUGUGCGAAUCCAGCCGCGCCGUCCUCCGCUUUCUCCAGCCGCCUAUGUCGCCCAUGGCAUCACCAUAGCCAUCAGCAUAGGCCGACGAUUCCCCAAUAUCCGACGCCAUAUCUCCCACCAGCAAUUUUCCAACAAUCCCACCCCUAAUCCCAACCCUAAUCCGUCGCCCAUUCUCAUCUUAUUCUUCUUCGGCCUCUCUGAGUCCGGAUUUGAAAAAAGCCCUGUCGAUUUUUAUUUCUGUUUCAUUGUAGUCUUACUGACUGAAGAACUCUUCCUCUCUCGCUCUUCACAUCUCUCAGAUCUAGCGGGGGAGAAAUCCCUGCCACCAACCUCCGAAGAAUUCGAAAAACAUUCCAGGUUGCCGCCAGUUUCUCGCUGCUGCUGACGCAAUCGCCUCUGUCUGCUUCUCUUCGUCUACCGCCACUCGGCCGCCGGGCUAGAAAUCGCCAUCACCGCCGCUGCCCACCUCCUCUGCCAUGUUAAGUAUGGUAAGUAUUCUAUUAGGAAAGAUUAUAAUUGUAAAUAUAGAAUGAUUAGGGCUCUACUUUAGAAAGAACAAAUUUUGGUAAAUGUUUAGCAAUGGAAACUUUAAAACCUAGAUUUUUAGUUAUAAAUUUAUUAGUUCACUGUAAAUUAUGCCGUAUUCACUCAAUCGCCCCCGCCUCCACCAUUCAGCCGGCCCGCCUCCAGCCUCUGCAUCAUCUUUCACUCCUCAGUCUUCAAGUAACAGCUUAAACCCUCAAAUUUUAUGUAGGCUCGAAUGUUGUAGGGCAGAUGUUUGUAGCUAAAGCUAGAAUUUUUCAUAGGACCACAGAGUAAGCUUAUUUCGACUGGAAUCUUUUCAUUAGUUUGUUGUUUGUUUUUUCUAUAACAGUGAUGAUUUUGUGGGGUUAUUUUGAUUCAAUUUUUUGUUUCAGUGCGCUGUCAAUUUGUGCUCCCCUUUAUAUAGAAAUCAGAAUAUGUUUUUAAUUGGUUUCCCUAGAGUUACAAAUCUUGUGAUUGUGAUGCUAUGAUUUGGUUUUCGUGUGAGAUAAUACGAUGUGAUUAUCUUAUUUGGUAUUUUGUGAGAUGAAUUUGUUAAUAGCUCGGAUGUAUAGUUGUUGAAAUUACUUUGUUAAUGACUGUUAUUAAUUCUAAUCUCGAAUAUUGGCCUUACAAAGAAAGGUUCCUAAUUUCUCUCUUUUUUAUGUCUGCAUUUAUGUUUGAUGAUGGCUUUAUGGAAGAGUUAUGAUUUGAUGAAUUUAACAUGAUGAAAUAGAAUAUGGGCUUGAAGAGUUGGUGGAGUUCAGAUGGAGAGAAUUAGGAGAGGAGACACAGGUUAGAAUUCAAAGCAUUUUGAUUAGCUUUUGAAAUUCUUGAAAAUUUUUUGAGAUUGAUGAUGAAUAUGUGAUGAGCAGGAAAUUCAUGGGGCAAAUUCGUCGUUCGAUUAGCUGUCUGUAUUGCACAUGAUGGCAAUGCUGACGCUGAUGGAGGCAAAUGAAAAGCUAAUUCCUAAAGAAAAUAGUCUGUCUGAGAGGUUUGUGUCUGCAGGGUUAUAUCUAUCUACAUACAUACAAGUGAUAAUUUUGAAAAUUUUGAGAUAAUUUUGUGUUGCUAUUGUGAUCAGAUUGCAUGAGAGAUGUUGUUGAUUUGCUGCUGAAAGCAGCAGGAUAUUUUAAUUUAUGUGUUCUUGAUGUUCUUCCACGGCUAGCACCUGAGCUAAAGUUAAGCAUACGCGUUUUUGUUGAUUAGAUUCUUGAUAUCUUUGUAUGGACAGGAAGAAGCUGCCUUCGGACAUGCAGGGGCACGUGCUAGAGGCGAUUUCACAUCAAGCACUGGCACAGGCAAUUUCACAUCAAGCACUGGCACAGGUAGAAACUGCCUUCUAUUACAACUUGAACAGAACAGCAAUCUUAAAAAACAUGCAUGAAGUUGAAGUCAUAGUGUGAGAUGAUGAUUAAUUUAUUGCAUGGGUGAUAUAUUCCAGGGAACUGAAAUUCAGCUUGGAUUAGUUGUCCAAAGUAAAAAUGCAACUGUCUGUGAAGAAGAGACUAGCUUGUGAACAGUUGAGUUUCUAUGCUCAGGUAAUUAAGAUGUCCCAUUUAGUACUAAGCUGCAGUUUCCUUCAUUUCCUACAGUUAGAAAGAGUGUUGUAAGAGACCUAAUUGAUAAGUGUCUGUUUGUUAGGCGUAUAACUGUUUAUCGGACAAGAAUGAGAGCAGUGCAGCUCUGAAGAAUCAACUAUUCUUCCUCAAGUUGAAGCUUCUGGAAGCUAAGGUGCUUCUUAUUUUCAUCAAUCAAUAGUUCCCAUCUCAUUUUGUUUUAUUUACACGUUCUAGACUUACACAGGCUGCAGCUUACUACUAUCACCGUGUAAUCCUAGACAAGGGCACAGAGCCUUCCUGCCAUGUCAGCGUCGUCUGCUGCUCUCUUGCUACAGAGGAGUUGCUGGUCGAGAGCAAGAAGGCAUACUUGACCUUUUGCCUUGCAGAUCCAAUCACAAGGUAAUUCACUUCAAUUAUAAUAACUUUUUAUUCUACCAAUCAAACUAACACAUGCUCGUUUCGAGUUCGUGUACUAGAUGUACAUACAUACACACUUAUAUCUUAAAAUAGACAUAUUACAAUUAAGAGUAAAGUUCAAGCAGUUCGCAAGGCACGCUCUUUCUAAGUUGCAAUCUAUAUUUGCUGAAGGGUGAUUGAUAAUUCAUGUGAAAACUUGAGAGCAACCAAAAAAUGUCUAACCAAACAGAACCGGUGACAAAGGGUCUCCCUGUCGAACACCUCGAGAGCAACCAAAGAAACCAUGCUGCUCUCCAUUAAAGAGAACUGAAAUUCUGGCAGAUAGAAAAAUAACUCUAAUCCAGUGUCUGAAAGUCUGAAGGAAACCAAAGCAAUCCAGCACAACGUCCACAAAAUCCCAAUUCAGGGUAUCGAAAGCUUUCCGAAUAUCCACCUUAAGAGCCAUGUUCCUCCCUUGAAUUGAGCGCUCCAUGCAAUUCACUCCUUCAGAGGCCAGUAGAAUACAUUCCUGGAGACUCCGCUCAUUGCAGCACCAUCAUCACAUCAGCUCAACCUGCACAUUUAGAAACAUAUGCAGGGCUGAGUACAAAAGCACUCAGUGGGCACGUAUGCUAGGUAUAAAAUACAUGCUCAAAACUGUAAAUUGUCAUGCCAUCAUAAACAGUACAGCAAGGGAGUUUUUCGCUAAAAGGCCCAAGCUUACUAAGUUCAUUUGUGAUUCUUAAAGUUCGUCUGCAGACUAAGUUCUCUUGUAAUCUAUCAUAUCUGAAACUGUGUGCCGGAGAGGUGGCCACCUCUCACGGUCACUUGACCGGCCAACCCGCUAGAUGACUCACGGUCACUGGUGUACACUAGCCCUGGCAGGAUAGCUAUCAACUGCUCAGGACCCGAAUUCGAUUGCAUCAUUGGCAAAGCCAAAGCAGAUAGAUAUCAUACUAAAAUUUAAACAUUUUAUGGCAAGACAACAGUUGUAAUAUUUUCCAGUUCAAAGAUUUGUAACGAAAUAACUUGUUCAAAGGUAGCAUUAAACUCGUUUGAUAGAUAUAUAAAACUGAAAUUAACAGUUAAAUCAUCUCAUGCAUUCAUUCGUAUAAGAGGCCUACGACACGCAGGGGAUCUCUAUAUACGUAUAGUAAAAGUAAUGCCCACCUGAUUGCAGUGUUUUGCUACUUAAGACAAUGAUUCUCUUUCCUUAGCGCGAUAGGUUACUCAGACGCUUUUGUUUAUUUGAACCUUUGAUAACACGAAAACAUGUGUUCGAGUGAAUAAUAGAAAAGAUAACAACAAAUGCAGUGAAUCACUAUUCACUCAUUUCUCUAACUACCCAUAUUUCCUUAAACGACUAUAUCUAACUCAUAUACAAUCGUUCUUCCUUUAUCAAAAUACUUCAUGUACCUUUGAGGAUGUAGGAAAUUCCAUUUUAUAUUAUUCAUUUAUUUAUCUAUUAUAAAGAAUAAUUCUAUAAACAUAAAACGUUUCCUUUUCCCCAUUUAAUAAUGUCAAUCACCAAUAUAUAUAUAUAUAUAUAUACACAUCAAUAGCUCAUUUAUAAACUAAAAGUGAUAUUUUAUCAACAAUAAAACUUUAAAAUUCUUAAUAGGAAUUAUUUUGAAUCAUUUCCAUCUCAACAAAACUGUAUAGAUUCAACUUCAACUAAUAAACUGCUUUUACUCCGAACUCGUAUGGAGUCGAAUUUUAUAUCAAUAGAAACCUCUUUGAGUCUAGUUUAAUUGAAAAAAAAGUGUGUUGAAAAACUCCAAGUAGUUUAAGAGAUAUAGCGAUUUUCCCAUCGCCUACCAGAUUCGGCAGUUUCUGCCAACUGAAAGUCCAGAUUUUUGAAAAAAUAGCAAACGUUACCGGAAUAACCUCAACUUUUAUAUGCAGAUAUCUAACACAUAUAUCUUCAUACAAUAAAAAUUUGAGAGUUAAAUAUCAACAUAUGGUUACUGAAAUAAUUAACCUAAUCAUCUGCCUCACGACAGUUUCAGCAGAUACUGACAGUAGACUUCUCAAAUUUUAAAAGGGUAGUAAACGAAGUUCAAAUAACAUGAAACUUUGUACAAAUAUUCACCACACUCCCAUCUAUACCCCAGAAAUUUCCCAUAAUAUAAUAGAAACGGGAAUGCAUUGAAAUAAGGGCGUCAACUUACCCUUGUCCAAGUGAGCACUAAUGGAAGUUGUUCGCCGGGGGUUUUUCUGGUCGUCGUUCCGCUAUGGUGUUUAGCCGCGAAGGUCUACGACUUAGUCUUCCUCGUGCGAGGUAGAUCAGGCUACACAACGGUGGUUUCUCGAUCCUUUUUCGUCGUAAGGAUAGUGAGAAACGAAGGCCGUAAGUUGGCCGGUGGCUAAGUCGGGAAUUCGACGUUGGCCUCCGAAGGAUAUUGUGGCCUUUGGUCGGGAAAAUAUAGAGAAGGUUUCGGCCUUUCGAUUGUUGGGUUUGGUAGCCUGAAGAUGGAGGAACGAGUACACGUUCUCGGUUCAGAGCCUAGUGGCCGGUCGGCGAAUAAACGGCCCGGCGAAGGGAGCUCACUUGAGCUCUUGCAAGUAGAAUUAAAAUUUUCUCUGUUUUACCUCACACCUCUCGCACUUCUGCACUUCUUCCUUCUGCAGAACUCACCUCAAUUUAUAGAGAGGUUGAGGUGGUUGGUGGCAGCAAAUGUUGAAGAAAUAUUGCUGCCAUUUUUGAACACUUUGGUCUCGGCGUGAUCAUCUUCUCCUGCCAUCUUUGAAAACUUUGCUCUCGGCGUGAUCAUCUUCUCCUGAAAUUGGGGCUUUUUGGGUGUGAUGGAUUGCAUGGAAGAUAUUGCAGCUGUGAAAAUUGUGGAUAUUGGCAUGAUUUUCUCUUGCUGAAAUCUUGACUAUUUGGAUGGGAUUAACUGCGGAAAAAUGCAGUUUUUGAAGAUGAAUAGUUGUGAUAAUGAUAUAUGUUGGAGGGGUUGGUGUAAUAGUGUAGUGAUUCGACUAUUUAUCGUGAUCUAAUUCUCAUAGUUCCUGUAAUAAUUCUCCAAUUCUCGAUGAAUAAAUACUCGUCGUAUUUAUAUAAAUUAAAUCCUCAAUCUUGAGAUUUAAUACGUGAAAGUCGGAAUUAAUUCGCGACUUAAUACCUUAACACAUAUAACGCGAAAUAAUAAAAUAAUUAUGCAUAUGAUCUCAAAUUAUAAUUCCAGCAAUUUGAUUUAAAUAACACGAUUUAUGAAAUCGGUUAUAAAUCUAAAAUUUCUAAUCCUACUGAUUCAAUCAACUGAUAAUGCAAAGUCUCAAACGUGUAGCUAAACCAAAAAUUUAAUUAUUGGUUUGAUUCAUGACUGAAUAUUAAACCGCAGCUCUGUAUCUCUUAUACAGACUUUUGCUGAAAUAAUAUUAUCUGAACAAAAUAAUCACAAUAAAUAAUUAAAAGAAUUUUAUAACUAAUGCACAUAUUUAAUCUAAUAUGUAUUUAAAAGAGCGGGGCAUUACAACUUGCUCGACAUUAUGUUUGGGUUGCAUCAUUCUAAUGAUCUUGCCAGUAACAUACAACUACAUGAACUAUUUUUAUUAAUGCAUGUUCAUGUAAGUAUAAUACAUAUAUUUAUUUGACAAUGUUGUCUAUCUAUAUCUGCUGGUGGGGUUGGUGGAGAAGGCGAUGGUUGUUUUGAGCGGGAUCACGACGAUUGAGAUAGGGCAAGAGGUGAUCAUUGAGGAAGGCAGGCGGGAUCGCGAGCGAUUGAGGAUGAGAGCAACAAAGGGAAGUAGUUCGCAUAUGUAAUUGCUUACUUCGUUUGAUUUUUUUCUUUUUCUUUUUCUUUUUAGACUAAAAGGCUUCUUGGGUUUGAGGAUUUUAAGAUUGAUUUGACUAUUAAAGUUACAAUUUCUUGGAAUUAUAUGUUUGGGUUUAAUAAAUUAUGGAAUAUUUUUCUCUGAUAAAUUAAAAAGAAAAAUAAUAAACACGAUAUAUGUAACAAAAAGUGAAUGUAGAGCACUAUACAAAAAUUAAUAACUUGACUUCAAAAACUUUUUUUAGCUUGCUACAAUAAGAAUAACUAAUUUCUAUUUAAAUUGAUAUAAAUACAAUUAAAUUAGAUAAUGAAUGAUUAAUUAAUGAAAAUUUUAAAAAUUUAUAAUUAUAGUAUUAAAUAAUUCUUGCAUCUUUUUCUUUAAAAUUACUGUAAGAUCAAAUAAUUCUCAUCGAAUUUCGACGGAUUAGGUGAUUUAUUUGUUGGGUGGUUGAUUGCAGAAUGUCGACGCUGAAAAGCAGCAGCGCACUUACCUCUCAAGCUUCGACGGGUAUCCGUCGGGUAACGGGUGGCGGAUACCUAACGGGUGGCGGGUAUCCGUGGAUCGUGGGUAUGGGUGGCAAAUAAUUUUUUUGAAUAUACAUUUUGCUAAGUCAUGUUAGAGAUGAAAGUCCUCUUCAAUUUAUUUUUUCAUUUUAGUUUGAUAUGUAAUUAGAUUUAUGUCAUGUUAACACUUAUUUUAUUGAAUAAUAUUCAUUAUUUAUAAAUAUAUUAUGAAAAGAAGAUGAACUUUUUAUUUAUAAA
rnacentral:lncRNA from 1 species